UGGGGAAUCCUUGUAUCAAGGGUGCACUCUACACGAACAUCGAAAGAGAAUUCAGUUAAUAUUCCCGAACUGGGACAUGGUGGUGGACGAUAAUAUUAGGAAAUUUGGAGAUGUCAUCGGGGGCCUGGGAAGAGUUAUAUUUUCUUUUUAAUGACUUUCCCACCUUAAAAUUGGUUCAACCAUAGAUAGGGUCUAACAUCUGUAAGAUCACCACAUAUCUUGUGGUGUUUGGUGCCCCCUCGGAAGCCAUUGAAAAUAUGGAGAACCGAGUACCAUCUAUGCCCGAUCAUACUCAUAUCUGCCUCC
rnacentral:ncRNA from 1 species